GGGGUUGUACUGGUUUCGACGAGGGUUUUGAAAUUGCAGUAGCCAUUCGCAGUUCCGGGACUGCGUCACCAACCUGGACCUAAAUAUAAACGCAAACGAUAAUUACGAAUUAGCUGCUGCGUAAUAGCAGCUUGUCGGCCUUAAGCGGCCCGCGGCUUAAGAAACCGGCAUCAAAUUAGCGGGGACCUUUAUCUCCAAAGCUUUGAGGAGAUAAAAGAUUUAUGAAGCUACCAAGACCGAAAGCCUGUCUAUCGGCGUUCGGUUGAGGGAAUGAUAAAAGAUAGACUGUAAUGGGAGAAGCUGCAAUGGAUGGACUUUCGGACGCGGGUUCAAUUCCCGCCAGCUCCAUCG
rnacentral:tmRNA from 1 species